UACGAAGGGGGCUAGCGUUGUUCGGAAUUACUGGGCGUAAAGGGCGCGUAGGCGGUCUGUUGCGUUGGGUGUGAAAGCCCUGGGCUCAACCCGGGAUGUGCGCCCGAUACGGACAGGCUAGAGGACGGAAGAGGAGAGUGGAAUUCCCAGUGUAGAGGUGAAAUUCGUAGAUAUUGGGAAGAACACCGGUGGCGAAGGCGGCUCUCUGGACCGUUUCUGACGCUGAGGCGCGAAAGCGUGGGGAGCAAACAGG
rnacentral:rRNA from 1 species